rnacentral:rRNA from 1 species
UUUCGCCCUUAGAGUUUGAUCCUGGCUCAGAGCGAACGCUGGCGGCAGGCCUAACACAUGCAAGUCGAACGGACCCUUCGGGGUUAGUGGCGGACGGGUGAGUAACACGUGGGAACGUGCCUUUAGGUUCGGAAUAGCUCCUGGAAACGGGUGGUAAUGCCGAAUGUGCCCUUCGGGGGAAAGAUUUAUCGCCUUUAGAGCGGCCCGCGUCUGAUUAGCUAGUUGGUGAGGUAACGGCUCACCAAGGCGACGAUCAGUAGCUGGUCUGAGAGGAUGACCAGCCACACUGGGACUGAGACACGGCCCAGACUCCUACGGGAGGCAGCAGUGGGGAAUCCUGCGCAAUGGGCGAAAGCCUGACGCAGCCAUGCCGCGUGAAUGAUGAAGGUCUUAGGAUUGUAAAAUUCUUUCACCGGGGACGAUAAUGACGGUACCCGGAGAAGAAGCCCCGGCUAACUUCGUGCCAGCAGCCGCGGUAAUACGAAGGGGGCUAGCGUUGCUCGGAAUUACUGGGCGUAAAGGGCGCGUAGGCGGAUCGUUAAGUCAGAGGUGAAAUCCCAGGGCUCAACCCUGGAACUGCCUUUGAUACUGGCGCUCUUGAGUAUGAGAGAGGUAUGUGGAACUCCGAGUGUAGAGGUGAAAUUCGUAGAUAUUCGGAAGAACACCAGUGGCGAAGGCGACAUACUGGCUCAUUACUGACGCUGAGGCGCGAAAGCGUGGGGAGCAAACAGG